GAUGAACGCUGGCGGCGUGCCUAAUACAUGCAAGUAGAACGCUGAAGCUUGGUGCUUGCACCGAGCGGAUGAGUUGCGAACGGGUGAGUAACGCGUAGGUAACCUGCCUCUUAGCGGGGGAUAACUAUUGGAAACGAUAGCUAAUACCGCAUAAAAGUCGACAUCGCAUGAUGUUGACUUGAAAGGUGCAAUUGCAUCACUAAGAGAUGGACCUGCGUUGUAUUAGCUAGUUGGUGAGGUAACGGCUCACCAAGGCGACGAUACAUAGCCGACCUGAGAGGGUGAUCGGCCACACUGGGACUGAGACACGGCCCAGACUCCUACGGGAGGCAGCAGUAGGGAAUCUUCGGCAAUGGGGGCAACCCUGACCGAGCAACGCCGCGUGAGUGAAGAAGGUUUUCGGAUCGUAAAGCUCUGUUGUAAGAGAAGAACGAGUGUGAGAGUGGAAAGUUCACACUGUGACGGUAACUUACCAGAAAGGGACGGCUAACUACGUGCCAGCAGCCGCGGUAAUACGUAGGUCCCGAGCGUUAUCCGGAUUUAUUGGGCGUAAAGCGAGCGCAGGCGGUUAGAUAAGUCUGAAGUUAAAGGCUGUGGCUUAACCAUAGUACGCUUUGGAAACUGUUUAACUUGAGUGCAGAAGGGGAGAGUGGAAUUCCAUGUGUAGCGGUGAAAUGCGU
rnacentral:rRNA from 1 species